CAUGCAAGUUCUGCUCUUACAUUUGAUGCUGCAGGAAAGUUUUCACUCUUUUACUCUGACUUCCUAGGCCUGUGGAAUGAAGGUGGCUCAAGAUGAGUGAGAUGGAAAUGUGCGUGGAGACAGGGACUGUGCUAAUCUGUCUAGAGUGGAGAGCUCUUAAAAGCAAAUGUUGGGAGAUGCUGAAACAUAUCCGAUUAAAAACAAAGGAGAAAAGUAAUGUCCUGGAGGCAAACCAGAGCACCAAAGGACUUGGCUGCCAGAAUUCUAGGGAAAGAGAGGUGACUUUUGAGAGAAGAAGAAAGGAUUUUGGAAGAACAAGAGUGAUGGACCAUUCUGACUUGAGGGUUUUGGAAAAUGUCACGUAGUUUACUAAAAUGAAAAGUGACUAGUUAGGCCGGAAGAACUUUGGAGAUCAUAGUGGUGCGCGGACAAGCAGAAAGGCAAGUCCACCAAGCCCAGUGAUGAAUUUGAAGUGUGUCAGGUCAGGAAGACAAAGGGAGGAUUUCUAUAGGUAGCACACCCAUUAUUUACCUUGUUUGUUGAUAUAGGUGCAUUUUAAUGCAGUUUUUACUUAAUAAUUAUGAGCACCUCCCCCCUUUUCUUUUCAGAUGGGGAAUAAUUGCCAUUUAGCCUUUUAUAGGUCAAUUAGUAGGAGAAUAGGGAACGACAGACCAAUUCUUGAAAUUGUAAUGACUAGACUUCCCUUCAGAUGAUGGUUUCCUUGUUGUCAUUUUUAUGAUUGUUUCUACUCGCUCAGCAAACUAUUGGGGAGAUGGCAUUUUAAGUGGAUGUAUGAUGUGGCUGGAAAGAGAGCUAUGCAUUCUCAUCACUUCCCACCUUCCUAAGCAUCACAAUGUAAGUCUUUGCCAGAUGCAAGCGGAAAGGAAGGAGCCACGCGGACAUUCUCCUCCUGGCCUUGGACAAUGCUGACAGCACACAUCAGCCACUCAGCACUUUUCCAAGUAGCAGCCGAUGAUGCCCGGCUCCUCAACUUUAACCCGGGAGAAGGAGGUCAACAUAGGAAAGAAAAGCAUGUCAGGGAUCGUGCUGGUGGUCUGCUGGGCAAGACCGCAGUCUGCCGGGAUGGCCGUCUUCUGAGAUUUCCUUCAGCUCACUGUCAGCACCCUCUCUGGGAGCAGUAAGGCAAGUGCUUAUCUGACAAGGAAUAAACUACGUGUAGAGUCAUCACUGCAAGCUAACAGAAAGAAAAUCGUUUUUAUCUCAGAGAAUUGGAAGAAAUCACAGUAAUUAACAUGUUUGAGGAUUUACUCUUAGAAACCAUGCUUAGUGUCUUACAUAAAUUGUCUCAUUUAAUUCUUAAAAUAAUCAGAGCCACACCUCAUUUGUCUCUCAAGAUUAGCUUUUUCCUUUAGUGGACAUUGUGAUUAAAAUACCACUUACUUAAAGUUACAUUUUUGUCUCUGAUCUAUACUUUAU
rnacentral:lncRNA from 1 species